GGUUCGGUUAGGUUAGGUGGAAUUUUGUAGAUUAAGCCUUAAUGAUUCAAAGAAGGUUAGAAAAUUAUGUUUUCCCAUCUAGCUAGCAAAUUUUAGAAAUUAAAAAGAAAAAUAAUUUGCCGUCCCAGGGUUAGUGGCCUUAGGUAUCCCCGUCACCAACCCCAGUUUGAUUGUGGUGAUAGUGGCGAAUCUUACCAUGGUAAUCAACUUGGGUGUUGAUCAGUGCCCACUGCCACAACUUGAUGAGCAAUUAUGGGUUCUUUGAUAUAGUGUUAAGGUAUAUGCUAUAGAAAAGUUCUAUUCCUCUGUGGACCAAAUUGCUUUUCAUUAUUGGGUCCUGUUAUCUCUGUCGCUACUCUCGGUCUAUUUUCUCUUUAUAUUCUGUGUAUUCAGCCUUUAUUAUUUUGCAAGCAUUAGAAAUCUCAAUUUGAAUCUCAUUAGGGUUAAAGAUGAGGGUUUCUUAAAACCAUUCUUUAGAGAAAGAAGUGAGAUGUAAUAAUCGAGUUAGAGUGGAAUAAGUCCAAAUGUAACCAUUCUAGUCCAUAAAUGAAGAUUUUUCUCUCUCCCUUUCAAAAGGAUGAUGUCAUGAAAUGAAAGAAAAAGAAAAGAUUUGAUAAUAGGAAAAGACAAAAACAAUGAAUUUUAAUUUAUUAGUAUUGAAAUCGUUUUAAGAUCUGAAAAAUUUUAAGUUUAAAUGUCAGUAGAAAUUAUUUAUAUGAAAAGAAAUAAGAAAGAACAAAAUUGCUAUACUUCAAUCAUGUAAAAGAUUGCUAGUGGAUUAGUGGUUAUAAUUAGGAGAAAGCAGAGGAGGACAAGCAUGCAGUAAUUUGGAAGGGAAGAUGUAAGCGUAUUUCAAAACUUUGAUUUUUAGGAAAACACCACCUAAAGUAGCCAAUAAUUUUCUUACCUGUAAUAAAGUUUUCUGGUUGGUGUAGCCAUCAGUUGAAGUAUGGAGGAAUUAAAUAUCGUCAGAAGUGGCAACGUAGAGGUUGUAUCAUUAUCACAAUUUUAUGCCUAGAAUAGACCUUAGCAUUCUGUUCAUCAUGCCCGUAUCAGUCUGGAGCUACGAAAAUAUCUUCUUCGUCUCAUGCCAACCACAAAGCCAUAGCUAUUGUGUCGCAUUAGGCCCAAAGAAAUGGACCUAUUUUAUUUGUAAUUCCACAGCACACAGGAAAAGAAUUUUCCAAUAUCAGACAAAGCAAAUGGUACCCAAGGCAAACAACUGGGUCCAAAAAUUGAAGAGCUAGACAGGCGUGGCCUACUCAUAAAAUAGCCAGGCCCUUCGGAAAGAAUCUGAAUUCUACAGUCUGCACAACAAAACUAAGAAAAAUCCCCUAGUUAAGAGACUCCUAGUUCUUGCAAUUCUUGGCCCCCAAUUCCCAGUACACAUGAGUAACCUUCACAGUCCAUAUAUUAUCUCUCAAGAACCUCAUGAUUGGCUGCAGAAAAUACAUCCCUAUUUGUACGAUCAUGAUGGUCUCUCUUCCUCGCUCAUUCAUAUAAUGGAUUCUAUUGGUUGCAGGGCAUGAAUGGAAGUUAUUGGAAAAGGACCUCAUUGCUUUCUAUACGUAUGAUAUAUAUGAGUGGAAAACUUACUGUCGAGUGAUAUACAUUAAAAUUCUAAUAAAAAUUACAGACCUAUGUUAGCGUUAUUGCUUAAGUUAGUGGUGCAGAGUGUUUUUCUCUUUUGUCUAAAGCAAACGUGAUUUACUCUCCCACCCACUUCAGAGUACUACUGGCUAGAAUUAAAAGAACAGGUGUAUGCUAUUCUUUAUGGCUCUUUGUUUUGGAUCAAGUGAAAAGUGUAGCAAACAUAUGCUGUUAGUAUUUUACAAAAAUAGAUAUCCAUGAGGCCCAAAUGAGCCCUUUUCUUGGUGGAAAGGACUGCACAUGAAAUUAGUUUACAACUCUGGAAUAGCAAAAAAGCAAUCCCACAUUUUUGUUUUCUCACCAUCGCAGCCAACCACAAAACAAAUUCGAAAGAAAUCGAAACCUAAACUGGGAAAAAGAAACAAGACAAGGAAAUGCUGAUGACAAGCCUUCACUUACACUCCUCUAACAAAACCAUCCUAUUAGGGCACACUUCAUUCUUCCUUCUUCUCUUCGUUUCUCUCACUAACUAUGCCAACCUUGUUCAAGCUCAUAUCUUCAUCUAUGGAGGUUGCUCUCAAGAGAAGUAUCAACCCAGCUCUCUUUUUGAAGGCAACCUCAACUCUUUUUUAGCCUCAGUUGUUAGCUCGUCCUCUCAAGCCUCUUACAAUAGCUUUGCUAUUGGAAAUGAAAGUUCAACACCAGCUGAAGCUACCAUAUAUGGUUUAUAUCAGUGCAGGGGUGAUUUAAAGACUACUGACUGCUCAAUAUGCGUGGAAAGCGCUGUUAACCAGAUAGGUCUCGUUUGUUCAUACUCUUAUGGGGCUGCUUUGCAACUAGAAGGCUGCUACGUGAGAUAUGAGCGUAAUGAUUUCUUAGGGAAACUUGAUACGAGUCUGAGAUACAAGAAGUGCAGUAAAAGUGAAAACAGUGAUGCUGACUUCUUUCGGCGAAGAGAUGACGUUCUUGCUGACUUGCAAACAGCUAUGGGAUUUAAGGUGAGUAGUGCAGGUCUAGUAGAAGGGUACGCUCAGUGUUUGGGGGAUUUAAAUUCAGCUGAUUGCUCUUCUUGCCUCGAGGAUGCUGUUGGGAUGUUAAAGACUUUAUGCGGAUCAGCUGCAGCUGCCGAUGUGUUCUUGGGGCAGUGUUAUGCGCGUUACUGGGCAUCCGGCUACUAUGAUUUCCACUCAGGGGUCAAUACAAGUAUUUCCAUUCAUGAAGUAUUAAGAGGCAUCAGCACUUUGGAAAUUUGGUUUCUUUUUUUUAGGCACUUAAUUUUUUUUAUGUCUAUUUUCAAAAAAAAAAAAAAAAAAUCUUCAUGUCAUUCUUGUCUUGUGUCCUAUUUUUUUCCGUUGUAUUUAUCUUUUUUUUUUUUUUAACAGCAUAAUUGAACUUUUUAUUUUUUAUUCCUUAAGCAUAAUUACCAAUAUUAAAUAUUCUGGUGGAGGGGAAAGUUGUUUUAUUCCAUUAUUUUUUUAUGAUUAGAUAAAUUGCACAUAUCAAUUAUGCAAUUGGCAGACUUAAAUGCCUUGUGAGUUCCAUUAUUAAUGGUUGAUCAGAUUCCAAAAAGAAGAGAUAGAUGGAAUCUUUGGAUAAUCAUUCCAACUCCUAUAGAAUAAAGAAUCUAAUUUUCCUUUUGUCUUAUUAUCACUCAAUGAACUAGAAAUAACAAAAAUUAUUUCACUAGUAAUCAGAAGGGAGAUUUUAUUCUUUCACUAAAUCUUGCUCCUUAUCUUAAUUUUUUAUCAAGCAUGAGAGAGAGAGAAAGCUUUCAGAAACAAUUUUAUAUGAUUCCUCCAACGAGGAUGAUGUCGGAAAAACAGUAGCCAUCAUCGUUGGUAUAAUAGCAGGCCUAGCAGUUCUAAUCGUUCUUCUCUCAGUUUGCAGGAAACAAAUGGGUUAAGAAGAGAGAAAUAGAAGUCCUCUUGGAAGGUUUCCGAAUAUUUAUUUUAAUAUUCUUGUGGCAGAUAUGCUUUCUUUUUUUUUUAAAAAAAAAAAAAAAAUUAAUGGAGUAGUAAGUUUUUCCACAAAAGAAGGUGGGUGUUAAUAUAUUCUCUGCUAUAAAGUAGCAGUACUGCUAAUGAAGUAAUGGGCUAUAUCAACUUCAA